UACGUAGGUGGCGAGCGUUAUCCGGAAUUAUUGGGCGUAAAGGGUGCGCAGGCGGCCUUUUAAGUUAAUGGUGAAAGCGUGGGGCUCAACCCCAUAUAGCCAUUGAUACUGGGAGGCUAGAGUACUAGAGAGGGAAGUGGAAUUCCAUGUGUAGCGGUAAAAUGCGUAGAUAUAUGGAGGAACACCAGUGGCGAAGGCGGCUUCCUAGCUAGAAACUGACGCUCAGGCACGAAAGCGUGGGGAGCAAAUA
rnacentral:rRNA from 1 species